rnacentral:rRNA from 1 species
UUGACCGUGCCCAAGUAGCAUAAUCAUUUGUCUUUUAAUUAAAGGCUUGUAUGAAUGGUUGGAUGAGAUAUAAUCUAUUUUUAUUUAAUUAAAAAUGAAUUUUAAUUUUUAGUAAAAAUGCUAAAAUAAAAAAUAUAGACGAGAAGACCCUAUAAAUCUUUAUUAUUUUUUUAUUAAUUUAUUAAUAGAAUAUAAAAUUUAUUAAUAAAAAAAUAAUUUUAUUGGGGUGAUAAUGAAAUUUAAUAAACUUUUGUUUUAUUUUAUAAAUAUAAUUAAUUUAAUGAUCCAUUUUUAAUGAUUAUAAAAUUAAGUUACUUUAGGGAUAACAGCGUAAUUAUUUUAAAGAGUUCAUAUCGAUAAAAUAGUUUGCGACCUCGAUGUUGAAUUAAGAGUAAGUUUAGGUGUAGG